rnacentral:lncRNA from 1 species
ACCCUUAGAGAUGAGAGUAUGAAAGAGAAAAUACAUACUCUGGAAUCCAUUGGUCCUACCCCACUUAUUCAGAAUAAUUCAAUUAAAAACAACACACAUCAUAUAGGAAUGUCAACAGUGAAGGCAACUUCCCAUGAAAAAAAUUAUGACAAAGUAUAUUUCCUGGCGCUGUGUCAAGCUCUCAGGAGUGAAUAUAUGGAUAGGAAUUGUUAGGAGUUCUAGAAGAGGGAUGGAAUGCAAACAACAGCUCCCUUCCUCUCCAGGAAACAGAGACCUGAAGCCCACGAUUGCGGUUUUUGAAGACUGAACUCUCUCUGCCCUUGAGUAAGGAGGUCCAAGAUUUCUCCUUGAUAAAAAUGUGGACUGCAAUGCUAGUUAAAAGAAGCAAUUGGGGCUUUUGGUAUAGAGAAAUAUUUGGAAGCUGAAGAGACUGAGGUGGACUGGAAAAGCUUCGGAGAUGCCAAACAUCACAACUCAGAGACAGGAAAGUGGUCUGAAAAUAUAGCAGCUGCCUGGAGGUGCCAGGUGAGUGGGCUUGGAGAAGAGCCACGAUGAGGGCCACUGUUGGAGCCAUACUGAACAAACUCUUCACAGCCCUCACCAGAGGACUUUGCAGGUAAGUGGCAAUUCUGCUUCAUGUAGACAAAUAAUCAUGGGAGGUGAUUCGCAGCCUGUGAUCAAGUUCUU